AUGGCGGUUUCGGCCAAGGAGCGCAAGCUGAGCAGGCUCGGCAGUGGUAAGGCGGCAAACGGAGGAGGAGGAGGAGGCGGGAGCUUCGGCGCGAGGGGUGGUCACCGGUCGCCUGCGGCGGGGGGACGGCGGCGGCUGUUCGCGGUGUUCUUCGCGUUCCUCUGCGCCGGCGCGGUCGUCUUCGGCGGGGUGCACGCCAUUGGAGCGUCCUUCCGGCCGGUGCUCUUGACGGCCUGGCCGUCGGCGACCCUGAACGCCCUCUCCUCGGAGCGCCGGGUGCAGCAAGCUGGAGGCAACGGUGCCGGCACCAUUUCACCGUCUGUCCAAAUCCGGCAUGCUGUCGCUCUGCCGGACCAUCUUCUCGUAAUCCUCGGUGACGGAUCAUUGCUGCCAGCUCCCGGGCACUUCGAGUGCCUGUACUCCACUGCCAACUCAACGCAGCUGCGUCGUCGUCCCCUCUCAGUUGCUGCCUUGCCAGAUGGACCAAGCCUCGUCCAUUGCCCUGCCGGACCGUCUGGGAUGGCUGUGUCCCUGUCGCUGUCCCAGUCACCUCCGGUGACACCAUUCCAAUGGGAUCAGCUCGUGUACACCGCACUUCUUGACAGCCGGGACAACUCCACCGUUGUGUUUGCCAAAGGGAUGAACCUCCGUCCAGGCCGUCUCGGUGUGCCAUCACGGUAUGAGUGUGUCUUUGGCCGGGACCUGUCAAAGCCGAAGCUCGUUGUCACCUCCCCUGUGGUUUCUGCUGCACAAGAGACAUUCCGGUGUGUGACACCUGUCCGCAUUCGCCGGUACCUCAGGAUGACAGCUGAUGGAAACAUCAACAGAAACAGUGAUGGCAAGCCUAUGCUGGUCUCCAUCAGGACUAAGGGCCGGGGGAGCUCUACACUCCCCUCAAUCGCGCAACCAGAGCCACUUCCAAGGUAUAACCGGCAUCGGCAUACAAGACAUCGGCAGCAGAAGGCACACUCAAUGUGUGUGUGCACCAUGCUGCGCAACCAAGCACGGUUCUUGCGGGAAUGGAUCAUGUACCACUCCCAUAUCGGAGUGCAACGGUGGUUCAUCUAUGACAACAACAGUGAUGAUGGCAUCGAGGAAGUCCUCGGUUCCAUGGAUCCAUCCGCAUACAAUGCAACACGCCACUUGUGGCCUUGGAUGAAAUCUCAGGAGGCUGGAUUUGCACAUUGUGCACUCAGGGCGCGGGAGAGCUGCGAGUGGGUGGGGUUCAUCGACAUCGAUGAGUUCCUGCACUUCCCUGGCAACCAAACUCUACAAGAUGUCCUCCGGAAUUACUCAAGCAGGCCAAGGAUUGGUGAACUCAGGACUGCAUGCCACAGCUUUGGUCCAUCAGGCCGGACUAAGAUUCCUAAGAAAGGCGUCACAACAGGCUACACCUGCCGGCUGGCUGCGCCGGAGCGGCACAAGUCAAUUGUCAGGCCAGAUGCAUUGAAUCCAUCACUGAUCAACGUGGUGCACCACUUCCAUCUGAAGGAAGGGAUGAAGUAUGUGAAUGUUGGCCAGGGAGUGAUGCUGAUCAAUCACUACAAAUACCAAGUCUGGGAGGUGUUCAAAGAAAAGUUUGCUGGCCGCGUGGCGACCUAUGUUGCCGAUUGGCAGGACGAGGAGAAUGUUGGAUCCAGGGACAGGGCGCCAGGUCUAGGGACCAAACCAGUGGAACCGGAGGAUUGGCCGCGUCGGUUCUGUGAAGUAUAUGACACUGGUUUGAAAGAUUUUGUGCACAAAGAAUUCACAGACCCACAGACUGGAAGUCUUCCAUGGUAG
rnacentral:rRNA from 1 species